rnacentral:rRNA from 1 species
AACGAACGCUGGCGGCAUGCCUAACACAUGCAAGUCGAACGGGAUCCUAGCUUGCUAGGUGAGAGUGGCGGACGGGUGAGUAACACGUGGGAAUCUGCCUUCUGGUUCGGGAUAACCGCGGGAAACUGCGGCUAAUACCGAAUGCCCUCGCGAGAGGAAAGAUUUAUCGCCAGAAGAGGAGCCCGCGUCCGAUUAGGUAGUUGGUGGGGUAAAGGCCUACCAAGCCGACGAUCGGUAGCUGGUCUGAGAGGAUGAUCAGCCACACUGGGACUGAGAUACGGCCCAGACUCCUACGGGAGGCAGCAGUGGGGAAUAUUGGACAAUGGGGGCAACCCUGAUCCAGCAAUGCCGCGUGAGUGAUGAAGGCCUUAGGGUUGUAAAGCUCUUUUGCCAGGGAAGAUGAUGACUGUACCUGGAGAAUAAGCCCCGGCUAACUUCGUGCCAGCCGCCGCCGUAAAAC